AUGAUUUUUGGUCAUACCGCACGGUACGGUAUGCGGUAUGACCAUUUCGGCGCGGUAUACCGUACCGUUCCAACCCUAGGUGAAGAUGAGUAAUCAGUACGACAAUUGGGAGAGGCUGCGCCGACAGCACGACCGGGAGAUAGCCCUGUGCCCUUCAACGAAUUCUAGCCCCUUCAGCUCUAGAUCUUCCAGUUUUAACAGUGAAUUUUAUUAUCAGCUACACAGUGCCAUCAUCAAGCACUCCAACAACCCAAAUUUUCCAUUUUCCUCGGCAACUAUGGCGAGCAAUAGUCUUGUGUUUCAUCUGUUAAGAUUGUGGUAAGGGUGUCGAUGAACGACAAGAAAUCCCUUUGCAAAGCC